rnacentral:rRNA from 1 species
AACGAACGCUGGCGGCAGGCCUAACACAUGCAAGUCGAACGGACCCUUCGGGGUUAGUGGCGCACGGGUGAGUAAUGCUUGGGAACGUGCCCUCUGGUACGGAACAACAGUUGGAAACGACUGCUAAUACCGUAUAAUAUCGAAAGAUCAAAGAUUUAUCGCCAGAGGAUCGGCCCAAGUUAGAUUAGGUAGUUGGUGGGGUAAUAGCCUACCAAGCCUACGAUCUAUAGCUGGUCUUAGAGGAUGACCAGCCACACUGGAACUGAGACACGGUCCAGACUCCUACGGGAGGCAGCAGUGAGGAAUAUUGGACAAUGGGCGAAAGCCUGAUCCAGCCAUGCCGCGUGAAUGAUGAAGGCCUUAGGGUUGUAAAGUUCUUUCAAUCGCGAAGAUGAUGACUGUAGCGAUAGAAGAAGCUCCGGCUAACUCCGUGCCAGCCGCCGCGGUAA